rnacentral:rRNA from 1 species
UACGUAGGGUGCAAGCGUUGUCCGGAAUUAUUGGGCGUAAAGAGCUCGUAGGCGGUGUGUCGCGUCGGCCGUGAAAACCUGGGGCUCAACUCUGGGCGUGCGGUCGAUACGGGCAUCACUGGAGUUCGGCAGGGGAGACUGGAAUUCCUGGUGUAGCGGUGAAAUGCGCAGAUAUCAGGAGGAACACCGGUGGCGAAGGCGGGUCUCUGGGCCGAUACUGACGCUGAGGAGCGAAAGCAUGGGUAGCGAACAGG